CACAGGUGCAGAGGGGCACAGGGGACAUCCUUCAGAACCUGACGGGCAGGAACAUCUCUGACUACCUGGUGAAGACCUAUCCCCAGAUCAUCCGUCAGGAGCUGAGGAACAAGAAGUGGGUGAAUGAGCAGAGGUGAGCUGGGCAGGGGCUGGGGCCUGGCACAGCCAGGGAUGGAGGGAGACAGGAGAUCCCUGGUGGGUUUGGGGAGAGCCUGAGUGGUCCCUGGGCAGAGUCAUGAUCCAGGUGCCUUCAGCCCUCUGCUGUGUCCCUUACUCUGGCACCUGGGUGUGUGGGGGGUUGAGUUGGCACAAGGGUGGCAGUGGGGAAUGGGGGUCAGGUUUCACAGAAUUGUAGAAUCUCCCAGGGUGGAAGGGACCCAUGUGGAUCCUCGAGCCCAGUUCCUGGCACGCUGGCAGUGGGAGCCUCUCUGGCAGGUUUGGGAGCCCCAUUUCUCCUGCAGGUACGGUGGCUUCUCCCUGGGUGCUGGCAGCUCCCAGGCCCUGCCGUCAGCAGCAGAGGUGGAUCAGGCCGUGCUGGAGCUCCGGGUGCUGCUCAACAUUACCCUGGGCAGCCCCUCGGAUCGGCUCCUGGCCAACCUCAGCCGCUUCAUCGAGGGUUUGGAUGCCCGCAGGAAUAUCAAGGUGUGCCCAGGGCUGAGGGAUGUGACAGUGGUGUCCCCUCAAGGGGUGGAGCAGCCCAAGAAGGCCUGAGCAUGGCUGGGCCUGGAGGAGAGCAGGAGCUGGGUGGGGAGUGGGGAUGCUCCUGGUGGGAGCGGGUGCUGCAGGCACAGCCAGGGGCAGUGCCAGGUUGGGUGGGGGGCUCUGAGCUACCUGGCCCUCCCCAUGCUGCAGGUCUGGUUCAACAACAAGGGCUGGCACGCCAUGGUCUCCUUCCUCAACGUGGCCAGCAAUGGGCUGCUGCGAGCCCGGCUGCCCCCCGGCACCGACCCCGCGCGCUUCGGCAUCACGGCCACCAACCACCCCCUGAACCUCACCAA
rnacentral:lncRNA from 1 species